rnacentral:rRNA from 1 species
ACUCAAAUGAAUUGACGGGUGCCCGCACAAGCAGCGGAGCGUGUGGUUCAAUUCGAUGCUACACGAAGAACCUUACCUGGGUUUGACAUAUAGGUGGUAGAGAACGGAAACGGGAUCGACCCUUCGGGGAGCCUAUACAGGUGCUGCAUGGCUGUCGUCAGCUCGUGUCGUGAGAUGUCCGGUUAAGUCCGGUAACGAGCGCAACCCCUGCUGUAUGUUACAAGUGUCAUACGGGACUGCCGGUAUCAAGCCGGAGGAAGGUGGGGAUGACGUCAAGUCAGCAUGGCCUUUAUAUCCAGGGCUACACACACGCUACAAUGGCUAAAACAAUGGGUUUGCAAGACCGCGAGGUGGAGCCAAUCCUCAAAUUUAGCCCCAGUUCAGAUUGCAGGCUGCAACUCGCCUGCAUGAAGUCGGAGUUGCUAGUAACCGCGCGUCAGCAUUAGUGCGGUGAAUACGUUCCCGGGCGUUGUACACACCGCCCGU